GAUGAUAGGAGAUGAAAGCUCAACAUAUUGGACAAGUUUGUCCAAGAUCAAGCUGAUGCUUAUGCGUAUCAGAAGCAACAAGAUAAGGAAGCUCAAGAACAAAAAAUAAUGUCCAUGGACGUAUCCAAAUUUACUCCAAGAAAGAAGAAGUAUUGGGGGGAUAAACAAGAUGAAAUUAUGCAAGAACAUGCAGGGGGUCAACAGUCUACCGUUAAUCCUGAAGAUAACUCAGGGGACUAUUAUUCAAGCCCCCACGAUGGUGAUUAUUAGUUUAUU
rnacentral:lncRNA from 1 species